ACGGGUCUCUGUGAUCACAGCACCGCUAACCAGGAGAGAUCACCCGGGGAGAUUAAGAUUAUCAAAAGGACAGCGAUACAAACAAAUCAAACAGACGGGAAGCGGUUCAUAUCAUGUGUUUCUCGAUAAUGGAAACGUAAUCGCAAAGUUUUCCAUUUUCAAAUAGAUCUUUUUUUCGUCGUCAGAAACAAGCUCUGUGAUAAAAUCAAAAGCCAGAGGAAACAAAACCCCAUCCAUACAGAAGGGAGAAAAAAAACCUUGGGGUCAGUUCUCCUCUGACCGGACGCCCAGUUUUAAACACAGCUGUGUCAGACAGUGUAAAUGACUUAGUGUGUGUGUGUGUGUGUGUGUGUGUGUGUGUGAUGAAUGAAUAAAGGUUAAAUAAAUAUGCAUACAUUGCAAAGGCUUUGAACACUUAUGCAUAUGCUGGCAUACUGUAUAGUUUGUUACAGUUAUUAACAAUUAUUAUUAUUAUUAUUAUAUGUACACUGAAGUCACUGAAUGUCUUUUUAUUUGAUAAAAAAUAUCGAAAUUAGAUGAUGCUUUUCCAAAAGAUUUAUUUUUGACUACAUGAUCUUGAAGAGAAACACAAAACCUUCACAUUCAACAUCCCAGUCGGACUAGACAUGUUGUCCUAUUUUGAAAAAAAACUUGCUAAAACUGUGUGGUAUAUUAAAAAUAAAUGUGCUUUUAUUUUAAUAUA